CAGAGCGUAGCUAAACACCAAAGCAUCUCACUUACAAUGAAAUGAUAUCCGUGCAAGUCGGAUCGCACUGA
rnacentral:tRNA from 1 species